GCGUCGAUGGUGUAGUGGUAAGCGUAGUUGCCUCUCACCCCAGUCGGUCGGGGUUCAAUUCCCGUCGACGCC
rnacentral:tRNA from 1 species